CUGUGGGAACCCGUAGAUCCGAACUUGUGCUUUACAUAUGACCACAAGAACGGACUUAUGGGAUUCUGCCGA
rnacentral:pre_miRNA from 1 species